UGCAUUCUCUGUCAAAAAUUUCUCAUUAAAAAUGUGUUUCUUUAAAAGUAACUCAAAGCAGCUGAUGAAAUAUAAGAGCAUGGAAAGUUUCAAAUCCCAGAGCAAAUGUGGAUUCAUCAGGGAUCAUUUGCCAGAGACCUGACUCAAUGGCAAAAGACCUUCUCACCAUUUCUCACAUCCCUUCCUGGGUUUCAUACAGAGUGGAUAAAGAACGACUAAGCUACGAACAAGUCUCCCAAAGAGGAGACAAUCCCGUAAACCUUCCCAGGAUCUCUGCGCCACCUGCCGAGGCUGACGCGCGAGAGAUGGCUGUUACCAAGAUUAUUCCCAAACAUCCUCUAGCUUGCUGGAGACCACAAAGAUCAGUCCUGCCUGAGAGGCCACCGGUGUGCAUCUCACAAAAGAAUAAGAUGAUGGAAAAAUAUGGCCAUCUCCUUGAAGUGGGGGCUGCCGAUGGAAGAAAAGCAGUAGAUGGGCAGAAGACAAGGUCAAAACCCAGGUUGGGCUGACGCUGUCUGGAAGACCAAAAGCCAGCUGCCUUAUCAACGAAUUUAAUGAGUACCUAUUAUGUGUGGGGACCUUGCCAAAUGCUGCAGGAAUCCCUUCCUGAGGGUAUUUACAGUCUAUUGAGGAGACAAGGCACGUGUAGACCAAAUGAUUUAAUUAUCAUCUCAGUCUGUCUUCUCAUACUGAGUUGUAAGGGCGAGAAGGGCAGGGGCUGUGUGUGUUUUGGUAUUGCUGUAUCUCCAGAAGUGAACACAGUGCCUGCUCGGGGGUGCUGUUCCUGCUGAACUAAUUCCCGCCAGAUAUCGUGAGGCCACGUUAGACCAAGGACAUCGGACCCUUCUCUGUGGCUGGGCUGCUCACGGACCCUUGGAUCUCCCAUUGCUAAACCUGUGUAAUGGGCAUAACUUCAUUUUACCCAGUCCACUGUGCAAGAUAUGCACCUUUAAGUAUUUCUUUAACUCAAGUUGUCAUACUUCAUUGAUUCCAAUACAUGCCUUUUCGUGCGUUAGUGUCUCAGAAAUCAGGAUCUUCUCACUGAUGGCAUCUUUGAAUCGCUAUUUCCCGGGUGGCAGGGCGGACGGAAUGGCCCGUGCAUGUCUGAACUUGUUCACAGGCAUUCCUAUGACCGUCCCUUCUGUUGAAGUCUGUGCAUUGUUGGUAGGACCCAAGUUGAGUUUAGUUGCUGUUUGAAAUGUUUUCAAAAAGAUCAUCCCAAGUUUCAGGUUUGAGAUGAAAAGUUAUCGUCAACAGAAAGGUUUGGAAACAGAGCAGUGGGGUGCAAAUAUGAUAUUAGUGAAGCAGGUAUUUGUGUUGGGGGGGGUCGCUGAAAAGCAACAACCUCAUACACAGUAAUAGAUGUAGAUUACUACAAGCGUUUGAAACUGUGAUCAUUUUGUUACUGAGUUGUGUACAAAGGCAAUGCCUGUUUGCACACGUCAAGCAAGCAAGCACCCACAUCAGACCUUUUAGAAUGGGUGGCAGCAUCUCAGAAGAAAACCUGGAGCCAACAGUGGGGGCACUUGUAAGAAAGUUUCAUCAUCAAUACAGAGGACAGCGCCGUGCAGAAAAAUAUGAACAUUGAUUCCAAAUGCGUAAACUCUGAAUGCGAAGAUAACUUCGGGAAUUUCUUAACGAAUUUAUUUUCUUUUUUGUAUACGCGUGAGUGUGAUGUAUAAUAAAAGCCUCUGACCCAAUAAGUCUAGAAAAGCUCUUUCAGCAAGCAUAAAAUACAGAUUUUAAGUGAUGAGAAAGCAUUGUUUCAUAGAUGAAUUGGUGUCUUUCUUUCUUAGUGGUACAUAAAUUAAUGAUGCGUUUUACAAUCGAUGGCUUCUGAGUAUCAAUGAAAUAGCUACUUUCUCAUUUGAGUUCCCAUUCCUUUGGGUGUUAGAAAUUAAAUUUCUGUCAGUUCAGCAGCACC